GUACACGCUGUGACUAGCAUAUCAAUAAGCGGAGGAAAAGAAACUAACAAGGAUUCCCCUAGUAACGGCGAGUGAAGCGGGAAGAGCUCAAAUUUGAAAUCUUAAAGGGUUUCCCUUUACGAAUUGUAGUUUAAAGAAGUGCUUUUCUGUUGAGGUUUUGGUAAAAGUUCUUUGGAAUAGGACAUCAUAGAGGGUGAGAAUCCCGUAUUUGACCUUUACUUUCAACUUUGUGAUACACUUUCAAAGAGUCGGAUUGUUUGGGAAUGCAGUCCAAAAUGGGUGGUAAAUUUCAUCUAAAGCUAAAUAUUGGCGAGAGACCGAUAGCGAACAAGUACCGUGAGGGAAAGAUGAAAAGAACUUUGAAAAGAGAGUUAAACAGUACGUGAAAUUGUCAAAAGGGAAGCGUUUGACACCAGUGUUGUUUUUCUGAAAAUCAAUUAAAGAACUGUUUAUGCUAAGCUUGUUUAGACUUUAUCAGCUAUCUGCUUAGUUUUGAGCUUUUCUUUAAUGCACUUUUCAGUUAACAAGUCAACAUCAAUUUCUUUUGCUGUAAAAAAGCUUGAGGAAGGUGGCUUGAGAUUCGUCUUAAGUGUUUAUAGCCUCUUGCCUAUGCAGUCGGAGAGAUUGAGGUCUGCAGCGUAGAUCCUUCGGGGCUAAAUGCAUUUGUGCUAAGUUAUAGCAUUUUAUAGACAACUUGUUGACUAUGAUUUGUCUUGUAGCUUACUCGCUUAUGUUAUUUUACCUACGCUUAGGAUGUUGAAGAUGUAGCACAUCAU
rnacentral:rRNA from 1 species